CUUGCCAUGGACCUCCAUGCUUCCCUCAAGCCUGCACUCUCAGGCCCGGAUGCAGGAAAAAGGCUCGGCCUGCCAUUCCCAUAUCCUGCGCCCAUAAAAGGACCAGCUGACAGAGCAAUAUGAAUGGCUAAGUGUUGGGGAUACAAGAAGAGACUACAGAUAGCUGCGGCCAACUUCAGAUGGUGCGACUUCAGGGAAAGAUCACCUUCUUCCCCCACCAUCCCCUUUCCUAUUCCCCAUUCCACUGAGAGCCACAUCCAUUGCCCAAUAAAAUCCUCCACAUAUACUACCCUUCA